AGAGUUUGAUCCUGGCUCAGGAUGAACGCUAGCGGCAGGCCUAACACAUGCAAGUCGAGGGGCAACGAGAUGGUAGCAAUACCAUUGUCGGCGACCGGCGAACGGGUGCGUAACGCGUGAACAACUUGCCGGACACAGGGGGAUAAUCGUCGGAAACGUCGUCUAAUAUCCCAUAACAUUGACAUGGGCAUCCAUGUUGAUUGAAAGCAUUUAUGCGGUGUCUGAUAGGUUCGCGUGACAUUAGCUAGUCGGUGGGGCAACG
rnacentral:rRNA from 1 species